rnacentral:lncRNA from 10 species
AUUUUACAGUCCAGGUGCUGAAAAGGAAGAACCAAUUUAGAACAAUGUGCUUGGAGAAAUGAAGACUCCCUACGUUCCCUCCGCUCUCUACCUCCCACACACCCACUAACCCCUACUACAGCUAUGCCCCGGUGUCUUCAGGGAGCUCACCCAACAGGAGCAAGAGGACUUCUUUAAGCUGAGACUGCAAAGGUCAGAGACACCACUCAGCAAAGAGCCAGGAGGUGUGCAUUCUAAGCAGCAAAGCGGUUCUCAAUAUUCAGGAAAAGACCAGAUGUGGGGGCUCAUGCCUGUAAUCGAAGCACUCUGGGAGGCCAAGGCGGGAGGAUCCCUUGAGGUCAGGAGUUUGAGGCUGCAGUGAGCUACAAUGGCACCCCUGCACUCCAGCGUGGGUAACAGAGCAAGACUUGUCAUUACAUAAAUAAAUACUCAGGAAGAGAGAAGAAAAUGCCAGUAUGGCUUGAAUUUGGUUUGCUAUGGGGAGAGAGAGCAACGAGAUGAGGUUGGAGAGGUGGGGUUGGCGUCAGAUCUUGUAAGUCUGGCAAGGAGUCCAAGUUUUAUUCCAAGUACAAGAGCAAGUUUAAAUUUAAUGUAAGCAAGGAAUGACAAAUCUGACUUGUUUAGGGAGGCAGGACAUACAGUGGUUAAUAGUCCAAGCUCCAGAAUCAGACGACCUAGAUUUAAAUAUCAUUUCUACCAUUUAUUACAUGGGUGGGUGUAGGCAUAUUAUUUAAAAUCCACAUGUCAUGUUUCUCAUUUAUAAAAGAAAGAUAGCAGCAAUAAUAGCCCAGCAUAGGACUGUUUUAAAAUGAUUUAUUUGCCAAGCGUGGUGACUUAAUCCUCUCAUCGCAGCACUUUGGGAGGCUGAGGUGGGAAGAUGGCUUGAGCCCAGGAGUUUGAGAUCUGCCUGGGCAACAUAGGGGACCUUGUCUCUACAAAAGCAUUGGUAAAUGUUACUUGUCUAUAUUUUUAAAAACUAAUGCAUCCUACUGUGUGGAAAAUGGAUUGAGAGUGAGAGGGUAAGGAAAAAGACCAGCUGAGAAGUUAUUGAAGUGGCCCGAGGAAUAGUUCAUGGGGCUUGGUCUAAGUAAGUGAGGAUAGAGACAAAGAAAAGGAUAUAUAAUAAAGACAUGCUAAUUCAUUAGAUGAGGAAGAAUAAAUAACCAAUGAUGGUUCAUGGGUUUUGGACUGAAGAGAUGCCUUUUACUGAGAUGAGAAAAACUAGGGGUAGAAUUGGCUUAAGAAAAAAAUCAAAAGUUCAGUUUUAUCCAUGUCAUACCUCUUAAAUACUCAAGUGGAAAGGUCAAGAAGGCAAUUAGAUAAAACCAAGUAAAUGUAACUGUAGCUGGCUAGACUUCUUGUAGCAGAGAACAGGACUAGGCUCACCAUGUGAAACUGGGUGAAGAUAGAAAGUGUCAGGAAAAAUUACAAAAGACUUCGAAAUGGAUAAAAAAGAUUAGUGGGUGUCCUGUCUAGCUUUACCAUCCUGGUUAUCUCCAGAGGCUUUGCAACUCUCAAAGACAGUAAAUUCUGAAAAACCGGUAAUAGUGCCAAUGAUUCUUGCUCACAAAAGUGCAAUUGACUUGUGUCUGGUGAAAUGUAAUGGAUUAUGGUAUUGGAGAUAGACCAGUUUUUUAAAUCUGUUUGUAAAUUCAUUUCAACAUUUCUUUAUGCAUAUAAACAUGUGCUUCUUUGAAACAACUGUAACAUCUUACCGGUUCCCUCAUUAGUUAAUGAAUUAAAUAAAAUAUUUGACAAGCAUGGAU